rnacentral:tRNA from 1 species
GCCUGGGUAGCUCAGUCAGUUAAGCAUCUGACUCUUGGUUUUGGCUCAGGUCAUGAUUCUCAUGGUCUGUGGGUUCGAGCCCCACAUCGGGCU